UACAGAGGGUGCGAGCGUUAAUCGGAAUUACUGGGCGUAAAGCGCGCGUAGGCGGCUUUGCAAGUCGAGUGUGAAAUCCCCAGGCUUAACCUGGGAACUGCAUUCGAGACUGCAUAGCUAGAGUAUGGGAGAGGGAAGUGGAAUUUCAGGUGUAGCGGUGAAAUGCGUAGAUAUCUGAAGGAACAUCAGUGGCGAAAGCGACUUCCUGGACCAAUACUGACGCCCAUGUGCGAAAGCGUGGGGAGCAAACAGG
rnacentral:rRNA from 1 species